UCGAGUGGUGUAUAUAUACAGCAGACAAAACGGAGUACGUUUAUAGAACCAAAGUACGGUGACAAUUCGAUACAUCAGUCAUGGCUCACAAAUUUAGCUUUCUUUUUCUACUUGUUUCUCUAAUAUUGCUAUCCGAAUAUUUCACGCCAUCGAUAGCGAAUAUACUUUGCCCAAUAUUACCUAAACACAUGACGUGUUGGAAGAACCCAGCUCUUGCAGCAAAGUGUAAGUUUAAAUGUUAAUUGGAACAAUGUAGGCUGUUUUCACGCAGCUUUCAGAAGAAUAAGAGUACUGCGAUAAUUGGACAAAGUACAUCAAAUAUGUUACACGUUUGGCAAAAAUGUAAUUGAAUUAACAAAUAAAUACUAUAUACUGAAA